rnacentral:lncRNA from 1 species
UUUAACCUUGUGUAGCAGGAUAAGCAUUUUGUCUUGUUUCCCCUCUUGCCCUUUGUUUACAUUUGGUUACUAUGGUUUCCGCUAUGCAUUGGGGUGGGCCAGUAUAAAAGCGGUAGUCUGCCCACCGGUUCGUCCUCUCAUCAUUUCCGGGUCGGCGGUUGUGUGCGCGACAGGUAUGGCUGCACGCUGCUUCACCUCGCUGCUCGUUUUAUUUCGAUCAUUAUGUUUUAGGCAUUUGUGUUGUGUUGUAGGGCGAUCGUGUGCUGCUGUGUGCUUCCUGUCCGUGUGCGCCGCUGUGAUUGUUUGGCGGUGUUGCUGUAGGCCGGUGGUGGCGUUGCUGGUGACCUGGUGGUGGCAUCCUCUCUUGUCUUGCUGUGUCCCUUGGAGUGGGUUUUUCUUCACUGAGAGUGUGUCUGCCACGUGUGCCCGGUGACUUAAGUUUGUUUCUUUAUUUUGGUGGAUUCCUCCCCUGCACUAGCCUUCGUCCAUCCACUUCGGCCUCAGCCCUGAUUAGGUUUGUCUUUUGUGUGAAUGAGUUAAUUGAUUUUUAAGAAUAUAUUAAAAUAAAAUGCAUUUUAAAACUUUGAACCACGUCUCUCGCCUUUAAAUAACUACGAACCUGUGUGCCUUGCGUAAGAAAAUAAUGCUCUGGGUGAAAUUCCCAGGGUGGCGUUGUUGAGCUUUUAGUAUUUUUCCUUUCUUUUCACCUCCUCCUUGCCACAAACUUGGCGUUGUCGGCAGGAUAGUUACUGUAGUAAAAGGCAGAGACGUGUGUUUCAUUGUUUUUUUUCUUUUGAUUUGUACAAAGCAGCAGCGGUUCUUUAUUCAAAUCUGCACUCAUGGAGGAGGAAUUGCAAGAGCUGCGAGACCUGGUUGCACAGUUGAAAGCGGAC